AAAAAGGGUGCUCGCCGCUUGUAUAGCGCGCGCGCUGUUGCGGGCGCGCGGGGUAUGGUCAUCAAGACAUACCCAGCACGUUAUUUUUGUGGAGGGAGGCUGUUGGUUACCCCUUAUGUGCCGGCGCCUCC
rnacentral:snRNA from 1 species